GCCUUUUAUAACUACCACAUGGGUGUAACAGUUCUAAGGCUACCAGCUGCCCUCCAGUAUCUCAUUAAAGUGGCCGUACUUCAUGUGUGAAUCCGAGUGGUAAAGGGUCACUGGGCUGUUUGACCAUGAGAGGAGAUGGAAUAUCACAGACAAGUCUCUUCCUGUCCACACACAAGCACCUUCCAGCCAGGACCAUUGAAUGUGAUAAGAAGUGGGAACACUGGCUGUAUUUUUCCUCCUACUUAUACAAACUAAUUGUAACAUCCCAUCUGCUGCCAAGCUGAGACCAGGUAACCUGGCACAAAUCUGGGUCUUCCAAGUCUCAGUUCAACGCCAGGCAGUGCCUUUGUCAACCAAGUGCUCAAAGAGAGCAGCUUGGGAAUGGAGCAAUCUAUAUGCAGGGUUUGAUAAAUUUAUAAGAUAGUAUUGUUCUGAUUAAAAAUGGGGGGCGUUAUUUGAAUAGAAAAUGUUCUUUUUGUUUCUAUUUAAUCAUGUAUUGUAACCAUUUCUUAAAAUUAGAUACUGAAAUAAUGGGCACAAUGUGUUUGAGCUCAGAUUGCAAUCCAAAGUGCCUGUUCCCAGCCUCCAAGACACAGUCGUGUAUUAACUACCUCAGCUGUGGAGGUGCUCAUCGAUGAUUGGAAAAAUGUGAACAAAUUUACUGGAACAAACCUGAAUCCUUUCUGAAGUUCAAAAUAUGGAGGAGGUUAAUUCUGUUCUGAACUGUAAAGGGAACAUGACUGUUGACUAAAGAUGCUCCUACAAAAUACACAGUCACUACACACUUCAUAGUUGUGAAGCACUUUAAACAUCCUCGCGAAUAGAAACAUACUAUUCUUGGUGGAGACCCAGGCAUCCUACAUGGCUCAGCCAACUUAAGACCAAAAGAUUCUGUGGUUGAAUUCCUUGGAAGCUCAAGCUUUUAACCUUUUUAGAGCAACAAUAUAUCUUUAAAAUUAUCCUCUGUGGUGACAGAUAAGCAAAGUCACCCGAGGGCAGUACUUUUACACUGUGAUGACUGGCCUAACAGAAGCCAGGAAGGUGUGUGUUAUCCUAAAACCACCUUGGAGGGUGUGAAUGUGUGAACCAAAGCUGUGCAAGCUCAUAGAACGGACGUAGAUGUAAAGUAGCAUGUUACUUGAUAGCCAUCAUUAUGUAUAGCUACGGUCUCUUGGCCAUGCACAUAUUUAUAUAAAGGUUUGAAGCUACA